GGCUUGUUAGGAAUACCAAAAAACGCCCCCUUUCACCUAUAUUCCACUUACCGAUUAGGAAAUUGCUGUUUGCAAACUGGCCUGGUACUGGAGGUCCCGGCCGGGGGUAGGGGGUGCAAGGAGAUGCCGAGAAAAAAGGGCCACCGCUCCAGUUAAAAAAAAAGGACACAACUGACUACAUGCCUCCAGAGAAAACUCCUGAUUCUCCUAAAAGAAAAUAAUUUUUCUAUAGAGGUAAAUGUGGAGAGUAUUCCAUCGCCAUGAUAAAAAGUCCAGAGAGGAAAAAAAUGUCUAGGACACUAGGGUAGUUGAAUCCCAUGGAUGCAAGAGCAGGUGUUGAAGGAGAUUGUUACCAUCACUGGCCACAG
rnacentral:lncRNA from 1 species